rnacentral:rRNA from 1 species
UGCAGCGGAGGGCGCGGUCGAAAGAUCGUGGCCCCGCACACUGCUCAGUAACACGUAGUCAACCUACCCUUGGGACGGGGACAACCUCGGGAAACUGAGGCUAAUCCCCGAUAGGUGAGGGACGCUGGAAUGCCUCCUCGCCCAAAGCUCCGGCGCCCAAGGAUGGGACUGCGGUCUAUCAGGCUGUUGGUGGUGUAACGGACCACCAAACCUACGACGGGUACGGGCGAUGGGAGUCGGAGCCCGGAGAUGGGGACUGAGACAAGGCCCCAGGCCCUACGGGGCGCAGCAGGCGCGAAAACUCCGCAAUGCGCGCAAGCGUGACGGGGGAAUCCCAAGUGCCGUUGGUCUUAUGAUCGACGGUUUUUAGGAAGUCUAAGAAGCUUCCAGAAUAAGGGCUGGGCAAGACUGGUGCCAGCCGCCGCGGUAACACCAGCAGCCCAAGUGGUGACCACGAUUAUUGGGCCUAAAGCGCUCGUAGCCGGAUCAGCAAGUCCCUUGUGAAAUCGGGCCGCCUAACGGUUCGGCGUGCAAGGGAUACUGUUGGUCUUGAGGCCGGGAGAGGUCGGAGGUACUCCUGGGGUAGCGGUGAAAUGCUCUAAUCCUAGGGGGACCACCAGUGGCGAAGGCGUCCGACCAGAACGGACCUGACGGUGAGGGGCGAAGGCUAGGGGAGCGAACGGGAUUAGAUACCCCGGUAGUCCUAGCUGUAAAGCAUGCGGGCCAGGUGUCUAGCGCUCCUUG